rnacentral:rRNA from 1 species
CCCUUAGAUGUUCUGGGCCGCACGCGCGCUACACUGAUGAAUUCAACGAGCACUAACCUGUGCCGAAAGGUUCGGGUAAUCUUGUGAAAUUUCAUCGUGAUGGGGAUUGACGGUUGCAAUUUUCUGUCAUGAACGAGGAAUACCUUGUAAGCGCGGGUCAUCAUCCCGCGCUGAAUACGUCCCUGCCCUUUGUACACACCGCCCGUCGCUCCUACCGAUUGAGUGGUCCGGUGAGGCUUUGGGAUCUGAGCGGAAAGAGCGUUUCGCUGUUUCUGCUCGGAAAACUCAGUCGAACCUUAUCAUUUAGAGGAAGGAGAAGUCGUAACA